GUAGUCAUAUGCUUGUCUCAAAGAUUAAGCCGUGCAUGUCUAAGUAUAAGCAAUCUAUACAGUGAAACUGCGAAUGGCUCAUUAAAUCAGUUAUCGUUUAUUUGAUAGUACCUUACUACAUGGAUAACCGUGGUAAUUCUAGAGCUAAUACAUGCUAAAAAUCCCGACCUCUGGAAGGGAUGUAUUUAUUAGAUAAAAAACCAAUGCCUUGGGGCUCCUUGGUGAUUCAUGAUAACUUUACGAAUCGCAUGGCCUUGUGCCGGCGAUGGUUCAUUCAAAUUUCUGCCCUAUCAACUUUCGAUGGUAGGAUAGUGGCCUACCAUGGUUUCAACGGGUAACGGGGAAU
rnacentral:rRNA from 1 species